rnacentral:lncRNA from 1 species
ACCAUUUGAGAAAUUUCACUACUUCUAAAUUUUGAAAAUUAUUAUCUUUUUAAAACUCAUAUGGCCAACCAGUAACUUAUAAAAAAAUAAGUAAAUUUUAUCACUCUUUCUCACUUUAGUACCCUAUGGUUUAAAGUGCACAAAGUUAGCUCCUGUGGUUUCGCACUUUCUCACUUUAGUACCCUGUGGUUUAACGUAUAUCAAGUUAGAACCGUUUGGUUUCAUUUUUCUUUUUUUAUUAUUCAUUUCACUAAUUUUUUCAUUAAAUCAAUGACAAUGUUAAAAUUAAAGGGUACUAAAGUAAAUAUUCGAUAAACCUAGGUAGGGUAUCUGAAGUUUUUUGUAUAUAAUUUAACGAAAUAUUAACGGAGGACAAAAAAUCAGUCACAAAAUUAAAACUAAAGGGUACUAAAGUAAAUAUUCGAUAAACCUAGGUAGGGUAUCUGAAGUAUAUAAUUUAGUACCCUUUAAUUUUAACAUUGUCAUUGAUUUAAUGAAAAAAUUAGUGAAAUGAAUAAUAAAAAAAAUUCGAUAAACCUAGGUAGGGUAUCUGAAGUUUUUUGUAUAUAAUUUAACGAAAUAUUAACGGAGGAAAAAUAAAUCACUCACAAAAUUAAAACUAAAGUGUACUAAAGUAAAUAUUCGAUAAACCUAAGUAGGGUAUCUAAAAUUUUUUGUAUAUAAUUUAACGGAAUAUUAACAGAGUAAAAAUAAAUCAAUGACAAAAUUAAAACUAAAGUAUACUAAAGUAAAUAUUCGAUAAACCUAGGUAGGGUAUCUGAAGUUUUUUGUAUAUAAUUUAACGAAAUAUUAACGAAGGAAAAAAAAUCAGUCACAAAAUUAAAACUAAAGGAUACUAAAGUAAAUAUUCGAUAAACCUAGAUAGGGUAUAUGAAGUUUUUUGUAUAUAAUUUAACGAAAUAUUAAUAGAGGAUCCGAUGAAAAGAGAAAAAUGAAACCACAUGGUACUAAAUUGAUGCACUUUAAACCACGGGAUACUAAAAUGAGAGAGUAUGAAACUAUAGGCUACUAAAUUGAUACACUUUAAACUAUAGGAUACAAAAAUAAAAAAGUGCGAAACCACGGGAGGUGAUAUUUGAAGUUUUUCAAAAAAAAAAGAGACAUGGUGUACCAAGUCUAGGCAAUAAUAUUUUCUCCUGCUUCACUUUCACCACACUCCAAAAUAACAACAGUGACUUAGAAAUAUCUUUUGGAAUUUUAAUAUUAACGAAAAUGAUAAAACUGAUGAAAAAUUAUUGAUCUCACCUUUUUUUCACUAUGCAGAUAAUAUUAUUUAAAUAACAAUAAAAUGCAAACCCAAUAGUUGAAUCUCCAGAAACUACAACCGAUUGUACUCAAUCAAUGCACUUAUAUAUCAAUAAAACCAGAGAAAUUAAAUGAAAAUUUUUAGGGGGGGGGAUCAUCUUGUAAUCACCAAGAGGCAGUGGAUAAGGGAGACUGCGAGGGAGCGCGCGGCGGAGGCGGCUGCGUUGUAGACGAUGCGAAACCGCCGCUCCUGCAGCCCCCAGAUUGUCGACACCCACACGCCGACGUGCUGCGCCGCCACCGCCGCAAGAGGCCUCAUUUUGGCUGUACAAAUAUGGGCCAACGCCUGCGGUGUUUGUUUGUUUGUUUGUUUGCGUGGAUUUUAUAGAGAUUGAACUCGCGAUUCUGAAAAAGUCGAUGGCAUCGGCAUUUGUUUCAGUACGGAAAUCCGAAGAUUGUCUAAUCUUCUUCUCAUAAUUACUUGAAGAUGAGGUUUUGACCCUGCCAUAUCUGCUUCUCAUAAUUAUGGGUUGAGCCCAUGAGUGGAAUAAAUGAAAAAUUAAAAAAAGGGGAGAAUCGUCGUCUUGGAAAAGCACAUGGACUUAAAAUGUAUUUACGGGAAUUACGAAGGGGAGCAAGGAAAACGCGAAUCUCGA